UCCCUGAUGGUCCAGUGGUUAGGACUUGGCACUUCCACUGCUAUGGCUGGAGUUCAAUCCCUGAUCAGAAAC
rnacentral:tRNA from 1 species